AAACAAGCUUGUAGCUUGUAAAACCAUCGCUUUCUAACGAAUAAAGUUAUCAAUUGUUAUAGGUAAAGGAAACUUAGCUUUAGUGCAACGGGCCUUAUAAGACAAAACUUACGAACACAAAAAUGAAACAUAAAAAUGACUAACUCAUAACAAAGUUAAAAUGAAAAUGCUAUCCAGUAGGUUGAGUAGGUAAGU